rnacentral:rRNA from 1 species
UACGGGGGGGGCAAGCGUUGUUCGGAAUUACUGGGCGUAAAGGGCUCGUAGGCGGCCAACUAAGUCGGAUGUGAAAUCCCCAGGCUUAACCUGGGAACUGCAUCCGAUACUGGAUGGCUUGAAUCCGGGAGAGGGAUGCAGAAUUCCAGGUGUAGCGGUGAAAUGCGUAGAGAUGCGGAGGAACACCGAUGGCGAAGGCAGCCCCCUGGGCUAAGACUGACGCUGAGGCACGAAAGCGUGGGGAGCAAACAGG